UACGGGGGGGGCAAGCGUUGUUCGGAAUUACUGGGCGUAAAGAGCGUGUAGGCGGCCAGGUAGGUCUGCUGUGAAAACUCGAGGCUCAACCUCGAGAUGUCGGCGGAAACCAUCUGGCUAGAGUCCGGAAGAGGAGAAUGGAAUUCCCGGUGUAGCGGUGAAAUGCGCAGAUAUCGGGAAGAACACCCGUGGCGAAGGCGGUUCUCUGGGACGGUACUGACGCUGAGGAGCGAAAGCCAGGGGAGCAAACGGG
rnacentral:rRNA from 1 species